GGUUGGAGCCUCCCAGAGUGGAAACCCGGGAGGGAGAGCCCACGGCAAAAAAGGUCUGGUCAAAUCCAAUGACCAUGGACAUGGACAUCAAGAUCGGGAACAAGCCGGCCAGCCGCAUCCGGAUGUUGCUGCGUUCCGACGUUGUUCCCAUGACAGCAGGGCCAAAUGUUUGCUCAAGGCUUCCCAGUAAGAAGAGAAAUUCUGGAA